UGGGGAAUUUUGGACAAUGGGCGAAAGCCUGAUCCAGCAAUGCCGCGUGUGUGAAGAAGGCCUUCGGGUUGUAAAGCACUUUUGUCCGGAAAGAAAUCCUUGGCUCUAAUACAGUCGGGGGAUGACGGUACCGGAAGAAUAAGCACCGGCUAACUACGUGCCAGCAGCCGCGGUAAUACGUAGGGUGCAAGCGUUAAUCGGAAUUACUGGGCGUAAAGCGUGCGCAGGCGGUUUGCUAAGACCGAUGUGAAAUCCCCGGGCUAACCUGGGAACUGCAUUGGUGACUGGCAGGCUAGAGUAUGGCANAGGGGGGUAGAAUUCCACGUGUAGCAGUGAAAUGCGUAGAGAUGUGGAGGAAUACGAUGGCGAAGGCAGCCCCCUGGGCCAAUACUGACGCUCAUGCACGAAAGCGUGGGGAGCAAACAGGAUUAGUACCCUGGUAGUCCACGCCCUAAACNAUGUCAACUAGUUGUUGGGGGAUUCAUUUCCUUAGUAACGUAGCUAACGCGUGAAGUUGACCGCCUGGGGAGUACGGUCGCAAGAUUAAAACUCAAAGGAAUUGACGGGGUCAUAGCU
rnacentral:rRNA from 1 species